UGGGGAAUUUUGGACAAUGGGGGAAACCCUGAUCCAGCCAUGCCGCGUGCGGGAAGAAGGCCUUCGGGUUGUAAACCGCUUUUGUCAGGGAAGAAAUCCCUUGGGCUAAUACCCCGGGGGGAUGACGGUACCUGAAGAAUAAGCACCGGCUAACUACGUGCCAGCAGCCGCGGUAAUACGUAGGGUGCAAGCGUUAAUCGGAAUUACUGGGCGUAAAGCGUGCGCAGGCGGUCGUGCAAGACAGAUGUGAAAUCCCCGGGCUCAACCUGGGAACUGCAUUUGUGACUGUACGGCUGGAGUGCGGCAGAGGGGGAUGGAAUUCCGCGUGUAGCAGUGAAAUGCGUAGAUAUGCGGAGGAACACCGAUGGCGAAGGCAAUCCCCUGGGCCUGCACUGACGCUCAUGCACGAAAGCGUGGGGAGCAA
rnacentral:rRNA from 1 species